rnacentral:rRNA from 1 species
GUUAGUGGCGGACGGGUGAGUAACGCGUGAGAAUCUGCCCUCAGGAGGGGGAUAACGGUUGGAAACGACCGCUAAUACCCCAUAUGCCGCGAGGUGAAAUGAAUUUCGCCUGAGGAUGAGCUCGCGUCUGAUUAGCUAGUUGGUGGGGUAAGAGCCUACCAAGGCUUCGAUCAGUAGCUGGUCUGAGAGGAUGAUCAGCCACACUGGGACUGAGACACGGCCCAGACUCCUACGGGAGGCAGCAGUGGGGAAUUUUCCGCAAUGGGCGAAAGCCUGACGGAGCAACGCCGCGUGAGGGAUGAAGGCCUCUGGGCUGUAAACCUCUUUUAUCAAGGAAGAAGAUCUGACGGUACUUGAUGAAUAAGCCACGGCUAAUUCCGUGCCAGCAGCCGCGGUAAUACGGGAGUGGCAAGCGUUAUCCGGAAUUAUUGGGCGUAAAGCGUCCGCAGGCGGUCUUACAAGUCUGUCGUUAAAGCGUGGAGCUUAACUCCAUUUCGGCGAUGGAAACUGUAAGACUAGAGUGUGGUAGGGGCAGAGGGAAUUCCCGGUGUAGCGGUGAAAUGCGUAGAUAUCGGGAAGAACACCAGUGGCGAAGGCGCUCUGCUGGGCCAUAACUGACGCUCAUGGACGAAAGCUAGGGGAGCGAAAGGGAUUAGAUACCCCUGUAGUCCUAGCCGUAAACGAUGAACACUAGGUGUCGGGGGAAUCGACCCCCUCGGUGUCGUAGCCAACGCGUUAAGUGUUCCGCCUGGGGAGUACGCACGCAAGUGUGAAACUCAAAGGAAUUGACGGGGGCCCGCACAAGCGGUGGAGUAUGUGGUUUAAUUCGAUGCAACGCGAAGAACCUUACCAGGGUUUGACAUCCUGCGAAUCCCUUGGAAACUUGGGAGUGCCUUCGGGAGCGCAGUGACAGGUGGUGCAUGGCUGUCGUCAGCUCGUGUCGUGAGAUGUUGGGUUAAGUCCCGCAACGAGCGCAACCCACGUCUUUAGUUGCCAGCAUUCAGUUGGGCACUCUAGAGAGACCGCCGGUGAUAAACCGGAGGAAGGUGUGGAUGACGUCAAGUCAUCAUGCCCCUUACAUCCUGGGCUACACACGUACUACAAUGCUACGGACAAAGGGCAGCAAACUCGCGAGAGCUAGCCAAUCCCAUAAACCGUGGCUCAGUUCAGAUCGUAGGCUGCAACUCGCCUACGUGAAGGAGGAAUCGCUAGUAAUCGCAGGUCAGCAUACUGCGGUGAAUACGUUCCCGGGCUUGUACACACCGCCCGUCACACCAUGGAAGUUGGCCACGCCCGAAGUCGUUACUCCAACCCUUGUGGAGGAGGAUGCCGAAGGUGGGGCUGAUGACUGGGGUGAAGUCGUAACAAGGUAGCCGUACCGGAAGGUGCGGCUGGAUCACCUCCU